rnacentral:rRNA from 1 species
GACGAACGCUGGCGGCGUGCUUAACACAUGCAAGUCGAACGGUAAGGCCCUUCGGGGUACACGAGUGGCGAACGGGUGAGUAACACGUGGGUGAUCUGCCCUGCACUUCGGGAUAAGCCUGGGAAACUGGGUCUAAUACCGGAUAGGACCACUGCCUGCAUGGGUGGUGGGGGAAAGCUUUUGCGGUGUGGGAUGGGCCCGCGGCCUAUCAGCUUGGUGGUGGGGUGAGGGCCUACCAAGGCGACGACGGGUAGCCGGCCUGAGCGGGUGACCGGCCACACUGGGACUGAGAUACGGCCCACACUCCUACGGGAGGCAGCAGUGGGGAAUAUUGCACAAUGGGCGCAAGCCUGAUGCAGCGACGCCGCGUGAGGGAUGACGGCCUUCGGGUUGUAAACCUCUUUCAGCACCGACGAAGCGCAAGUGACGGUAGGUGCAGAAGAAGGACCGGCCAACUACGUGCCAGCCGCCGCCGUAA